rnacentral:rRNA from 1 species
AACGAACGCUGGCGGCAUGCCUAACACAUGCAAGUCGAACGAGACCUUCGGGUCUAGUGGCGCACGGGUGCGUAACGCGUGGGAACCUGCCCUUAGGUUCGGAAUAACUCCCCGAAAGGGGUGCUAAUACCGGAUAAUGUCUUCGGACCAAAGAUUUAUCGCCUUUGGAUGGGCCCGCGUUGGAUUAGCUAGUUGGUAGGGUAAAAGCCUACCAAGGCGACGAUCCAUAGCUGGUCUGAGAGGAUGAUCAGCCACACUGGGACUGAGACACGGCCCAGACUCCGACGGAAGGGAGCAGUAGGGAAUAUUGGACGAUGGGCGAAAGCCUGAUCCAGCAAUGCCGCGUGAGUGAUGAAGGCCUUAGGGUUGUAAAGCUCUUUUACCCGGGAUGAUAAUGACAGUACCGGGAGAAUAAGCUCCGGCUAACUCCGUG